ACGGGGCGCAGCAGGCGCGAAACCUCUGCAAUAGGCGAAAGCUUGACAGGGUUACUCUGAGUGAUUUCCGUUAAGGAGAUCUUUUGGCACCUCUAAAAAUGGUGCAGAAUAAGGGGUGGGCAAGUCUGGUGUCAGCCGCCGCGGUAAUACCAGCACCCCGAGUGGUCGGGACGUUUAUUGGGCCUAAAGCAUCCGUAGCUGGUUCUACAAGUCUUCCGUUAAAUCCACCUGCUUAACAGAUGGGCUGCGGAAGAUACUAUAGAGCUAGGAGGCGGGAGAGGCAAGCGGUACUCGACGGGUAGGGGUAAAAUCCGUUGAUCCAUUGAAGACCACCAGCGGCGAAGGCGGCUUGCCAGAACGCGCUCGACGGUGAGGGAUGAAAGCUGGGGGAGCAAACCGGAUUAGAUACCCGGGUAGUCCCAGCUGUAAACGAUGCAGACUCGGUGAUGAGUUGGCUUAUUGCUAACUCAGUGCCGCAGGGAAGCCGUUAAGUUUGCCGCCUGGGGAGUACGGUCGCAAGACUGAAACUCAAAGGAAUUGACGGA
rnacentral:rRNA from 1 species